rnacentral:ncRNA from 1 species
CAAUACAUGUGGCAUACCCGCUGAAAGGCGGGGACGCAAAGCCGUGGGUCUAACGGGACUUUUACCUAUGACUGCCUGGUUGCUCUU